AUUAGGAGAUAAUGUCAAAACAAAAUAUUUUCAAACUCCUCAGUUUUUUAUAAUUAUAUUUCAAACUUUUUUUUAAUAAAAAUAUCUUAAACUAUUAAUUUUAUUAUAAUUAUACCAUACCAUCUAUUCCAUGUUAAUCUAAUGGACUUUGCCACAUCAGCAUAAAAAAACAUCCAAUCAUUUUUUUAAAUAAAUAUACCAUAAACUUUGAAUUUCAUUAUAAUUGAAUCUCACCAUUAGUUGCCUGUUAAAUACUAACAAAUGUUCCAGGUCGACACUUCUAAACCCCAAAUCGAUACUAACUAAAUCUAAUUUACAAAAAAAGAAAAAAAAAGGAAUAUUCAUUUCCAACAAAACAACAUCACUUUCACCAAAAACACAGAGAUUCAUCUUAUACCUCCCCACUCCUCUGCCACUAGGUUUUUUCAACCUCCACGCCUUACAAAGCCAUUUGGCACUAAUCUCCUUCAGUCACUUAUUCCACCAUCAUUAACCGGUGCUCUUAUUCCUCCCCUAUAGUAUUAGAGUAUACAACGUAUCUCUCAAUCAUCCUUCAUCACCUCAACAAGCCAUCACCUCUACUAUGAUCACCUCUACAUAACCCAAUUUUGCCUUAUGAUGACUCAAUAUCACUUCUCAUCAAUAUUUUCUCUCAAAAACUCAAUCAGAUCCACCUUCACAGCCCAAAAAUAGGACAUAUUAAUUCAUCAAUUAAAGUUUAUUUUGUUGUAAAUUGGGUUUAAUUUGAUGAUUAGAAGUGUUGACUAAGCACUUGUGUUAGCAUUUAAUGAUGCAACUAAUGAUGGAGUUCAAUUGUAAAGAAUUUCAAUGUUAAGGGUAUAUUUAUUAAAAAGAAAAAAUUUGGGGUACAAUUGUAAAAACAGAUAUAAUUUGGGAUUUUUUUAAUAUUUUCACCGUUAUAAUUAACCGUGGAAUAGAUGGUAGAAUGUAAUUGUAAACAAGUUAAAAAUUUAGGGUAUUUUGUAAGAAAAUUUUUGUGUUACCAUUAUUAAAAAACUCAAAGUUUGAGAAUAUUUUUUUUUUUACAUUAUCCUUUUUAUUAGGAUGAAUAAAAUCUCACAAAUAUAUAUUAUAAAAAACAAAGAAUUUUGCCAAAUAUAAUUAGAAAUAAAAAUACUAAUACUAAAUAAGAAUUUAGUGUUAUAAUCAUUGUGUAUGUUAGGU
rnacentral:misc_RNA from 1 species